rnacentral:misc_RNA from 2 species
AACGCACCUUGCACCUCUUGGUAUUCCGAGAGGUACAUCUGUUUGAGUGUCAUGAAUCCCUCAACCUCUACGCUUUCUUGUAAAGUGCGGAAGCGUUGGAUGCUGAGCGUUGCUGUCUUACAACACAGCUCGCUUCAAAUGUAUAAGCAAUCUUUGUACUACUCGGAUUGACUUGGCGUGAUAAAAUCUUCGUCAAGGAUGCUUCACAGCAGCCGAAGGAUAUGACAGUUGCUACCAAACCGUCGCACUUGUGCCACACUUUUAUUUUAGACCUCAAAUCAGAUGGGACUACCCGCUGAACUUAA